UCGGGAAUUUUGGGCAAUGGGCGAAAGCCUGACCCAGCAACGCCGCGUGAGGGAUGAAGUAUUUCGGUAUGUAAACCUCGAAAGAAUGGGAAGAAUAAAUGACGGUACCAUUUAUAAGCUCCGGCUAACUACGUGCCAGCAGCCGCGGUAAUACGUAGGGAGCAAGCGUUGUUCGGAUUUACUGGGCGUAAAGGGCGCGUAGGCGGCGCGGUAAGUCACUUGUGAAAUCUCUGAGCUUAACUCAGAACGGCCAAGUGAUACUGCUGUGCUAGAGUGCGGAAGAGGCAACCGGAAUUCUUGGUGUAGCGGUGAAAGGCGUAGAUAGCAAGAGGAACACCUGAGGCGAAGGCGGGUUGCUGGGCCGACACUGACGCUGAUGCGCGAAAGCCA
rnacentral:rRNA from 1 species